rnacentral:rRNA from 1 species
UACAGAGGGGGCAAGCGUUGUUCGGAAUUACUGGGCGUAAAGGGCGCGUAGGCGGCCUUCUAAGUCGAACGUGAAAUCCCCGGGCUCAACCCGGGAACUGGGUCCGAUACUGGAAGGCUUGAAUCCGGGAGAGGGAUGCGGAAUUCCAGGUGUAGCGGUGAAAUGCGUAGAUAUCUGGAGGAACACCGGUGGCGAAGGCGGCCAUCUGGACGGCUACUGACGCUGAGACGCGAAAGCGUGGGGAGCAAACAGG